GGAGGUUGUGUGCUGCGUGUCUGGCGCCGAGUCCAGCCAAUCGUUCUAGUAUUAAUGUUGUCAUCGCUGCAGUCAGUAGCUGAGCAGAAGGAACUUCUCCUCCUGGGACAGGCGGGUGCCGACAUCCGUCAGUGGCUGCUGGACGAGCAUGGGAGGCACACGCGCUGGCAGACGCUCUCCGACCAGGGCGUGCAGGACGCUGCAGUGAACGGGGUG
rnacentral:lncRNA from 1 species